ensembl:lncRNA
AAGUUGGAAGAGGUUGAUGGGCGGUUUGAGUUUAUGCAGUUUCAUGAAAAAGAAUUUUCUGAUUACUCCUUGUCUUCUGCAUCUGAUUGUUCUGACUCAAGCUUCAGCUCAAAUGCAAGUACAUCAACUAUACUUCUAGAUGAGGGUCCCAGGAAGAAAACAAGAGUUGAGGGUACUGUUGAUGCAGCAUCUGCUAAAAAGUUAAUUGAAGGUGUACUUGGAACCAAUUCAGGUGGUGAAGAGGUUCUCCAGGAAUAUCACACAACACAAACUCUAACAGAUGCUACCAGAAGAAAAAUGGUCAAUAUAAUAGUGGCUCACAUGAUUGAUUGCCAUGGGCACCUCCCCACCAAAGCUGUUAGAGAACAGUACGCGCUAGGGGUAGUGACAUUGUUCCCAUCCCUGAAAGACCCAUACUCCAAGAAAGGCUAUGAACACUUCUAUGAUGCUGCAAGCAGCACUGGAUACAUUUCUUGGCGUUUGAAAACGAUACAGAGAAAGACUAGAAGAGGAUCUGCAC